rnacentral:sRNA from 4 species
CAGCCCCUCACGUCCCGCGCCCGGAUCGGCCGUCUCCCCUCAACACGCGCCGAUCGACAUCAGGCCCGGUGCAUC